GACGAACCACACGAACGUUAUUCGGAAUCACUGGGCUUAAAGGGUGCGUAGGCGGCGCGGAGAGUAGGGUGUGAAAUCCCUCGGCUCAACCGAGGAACUGCGCUCUAAACUACCGUGCUCGAGGGAGACAGAGGUGAGCGGAACUUAGGGUGGAGCGGUGAAAUGCGUUGAUAUCCUAAGGAACACCGGUGGCGAAAGCGGCUCACUGGGUCUCUUCUGACGCUGAGGCACGAAAGCUAGGGUAGCGAACGGG
rnacentral:rRNA from 1 species